rnacentral:lncRNA from 1 species
GGCUGCGGUGGCGGCAUGAGCCGUGCCAAGUCUGGGGGCUGCGGUUCAGGCUGUGGCGCCGGCUGCGGUGGCGGCGGUUGUGGCGGCCUGGUCAUGGAAGGAUCCAAGAUGAGCCAUGCCAAGUCUGGGGGCUACGGUUCAGGCUGUGGCGCCGGUUGCGGUGGCGCCGGUUGUGGGGGCAUGGUCAUGGAAGGCUCCAAGAUGAGUCAUGCCAUGUCUGGGGGUUGCGGUUCAGGCUGUGGCGCCGGCUGCGGCGGCAUGCUCAACACAGCCUCGUAAGCAUGCCUAUGCUUGAGGUGGCC